UACUCCUACGGGAGGCAGCAGCGAGGAAUAUUGGUCAAUGGACGCAAGUCUGAACCAGCCAUGCCGCGUGCAGGAUGACGGCUCUAUGAGUUGUAAACUGCUUUUGUACAAGGGUAAACCUCGGUACGUGUACCGAGCUGAAAGUACUGUACGAAUAAGGAUCGGCUAACUCCGUGCCAGCAGCCGCGGUA
rnacentral:rRNA from 1 species